GAUGAACGCUAGCGACAGGCCUAACACAUGCAAGUCGAGGGGCAGCACAUGAGUAGCAAUACGAUGGUGGCGACCGGCGCACGGGUGAGUAACACGUAUGCAACCUGCCUUCUACUAUGGGAUAACCCGUUGAAAGACGGACUAAUACCGUAUAAUACAGGGGCUCCGCAUGGAGAUAUUUGUUAAAGAUUUAUUGGUAGAAGAUGGGCAUGCGUAUGAUUACAUAGUUGGUGAGGUAACGGCUCACCAAGUCAACGAUCAUUAGGGGUUCUGAGAGGAAGGUCCCCCACACUGGUACUGAGAAACGGACCAGACUCCUACGGGAGGCAGCAGUGAGGAAUAUUGGUCAAUGGACGAGAGUCUGAACCAGCCAAGUCGCGUGAAGGAAGACGGUUCUAUGAAUUGUAAACUUCUUUUGUGCAGGAAUAAAGUGGGUUACGUGUAACCUUUUGUAUGUACUGUACGAAUAAGGAUCGGCUAACUCCGUGCCAGCAGCCGCCGUAACAC
rnacentral:rRNA from 1 species